AGUGUUGGCCUCAUAAGGCUGUUGCAGAGACUGAGAUAAUACAUGAGAAGUGACAAGAACAGUGUCUGGUGCAUAAGAAACAGCACCCAGGACUAUCUUCCAAAGAGUUCUGGAUAUCCUAAAGAAAUCUUCUCAUGCUGUUGAGCUUGCCUGCAGAGAUCCAUCCCAAGUGGAAAACCUGGCUUCCAGUCUGCAGUUAAUAACAGAAUGCUUCAGGUGUCUUCGCAAUGCUUGCAUAGAGUGUUCUGUGAACCAGAAUUCAAUCAGGAACUUGGAUACGAUUGGUGUUGCUGUUGAUUUGAUUCUUCUGUUUCGUGAACUGCGAGUGGAACAGGAAUCUCUGUUGACAGCUUUUCGCUGUGGCCUGCAGUUUUUAGGCAACAUUGCCUCA
rnacentral:lncRNA from 10 species